rnacentral:tRNA from 1 species
GGGGUUGUGCCUCAGUGGUAGAGUACUCACCUAGCAUGUGUGAGGCCCUGGGUUCGAUCCUCAGCACCA